CUAGCUGGUCUGAGAGGAUGACCAGCCACACUGGAACUGAGACACGGUCCAGACUCCUACGGGAGGCAGCAGUGGGGAAUAUUGCACAAUGGGCGCAAGCCUGAUGCAGCCAUGCCGCGUGUAUGAAGAAGGCCUUCGGGUUGUAAAGUACUUUCAGCGGGGAGGAAGGGAGUAAAGUUAAUACCUUUGCUCAUUGACGUUACCCGCAGAAGAAGCACCGGCUAACUCCGUGCCAGCAGCCGCGGUAAUACGGAGGGUGCAAGCGUUAAUCGGAAUUACUGGGCGUAAAGCGCACGCAGGCGGUUUGUUAAGUCAGAUGUGAAAUCCCCGGGCUCAACCUGGGAACUGCAUCUGAUACUGGCAAGCUUGAGUCUCGUAGAGGGGGGUAGAAUUCCAGGUGUAGCGGUGAAAUGCGUAGAGAUCUGGAGGAAUACCGGUGGCGAAGGCGGCCCCCUGGACGAAGACUGACGCUCAGGUGCGAAAGCGUGGG
rnacentral:rRNA from 1 species